GACGAACGCUGGCGGCGUGCCUAAUACAUGCAAGUCGAACGAGAGCGCCCGGUGCUUGCACUGGUCAAUCUAGUGGCGAACGGGUGAGUAACACGUGGGUAACCUGCCCAUCAGAGGGGGAUAACAUUCGGAAACGGAUGCUAAAACCGCAUAGGUCUUCGAACCGCAUGGUUUGAAGAGGAAAAGAGGCGCAAGCUUCUGCUGAUGGAUGGACCCGCGGUGCAUUAGCUAGUUGGUGAGGUAACGGCUCACCAAGGCCGUGAUGCAUAGCCGACCUGAGAGGGUGAUCGGCCACAUUGGGACUGAGACACGGCCCAAACUCCUACGGGAGGCAGCAGUAGGGAAUCUUCCGCAAUGGACGCAAGUCUGACGGAGCAACGCCGCGUGAGUGAAGAAGGUUUUCGGAUCGUAAAACUCUGUUGUUAGAGAAGAACAAGUGCUAGAGUAACUGUUAGCGCCUUGACGGUAGCUAACCAGAAAGCCACGGCUAACUACGUG
rnacentral:rRNA from 1 species